GCCAAUAUUUCUUCAACAGACUGGUUCAAAUUUGUAUGUAUAUAUAUGUAUAUAUAUAUACCUAUAUAUAUAUAUAUAUAUACAUAUAUAUAUAUAUUUGGCUGCAUAAUUCCAGAGAUACAAUGAACCUUGCAACCUGGAAUUACUGAAUUAUUGUUCAUAUAUCUCAAGUCAAUAAUAUUAGUUCGUCCUUCAUAAUAAUAUAACAGAUAGAUGCAAUACACAUUCACUCACACACACAUGCCGGCAUACUCAAUCCUCUUAAAUUAUACUUGGACUUACAUAUGUACUGAUAUAUAUAUAUGUAUAUAUAUAUAUAUAUAUAUAUAUAUAUAUAUAUAUAUAUAUAUAUAUUUAUAUUUAUAUAUGUAUAUUUAUAGCUGAAGGAUUAAAAUUAAUCAAAGGACAUACUAAGUAUGUCUACCUGCUGGAAAUAACAGUGAAAACUAUUAUUUGAAUCUCCAAAAUACACUGACAAUAACUCAGGAAUCAACCGUCCGAAGGCAAACGGGCCAAGACAAUCUCUCUGCAUACAUUCACAUUUGGACUCGCGCAGACCGAUUUCUGGACUGGCAUAACAGCCUCACCUUCCUCAGCACGCGUUACCAUGAUGGAGAGCUCCAACCCGUCAUGUUGAAAUAUGCCGAAUCAUGUCAGCCACCAGUGUGAAUAUAAUUCCGAUACGGAGCAAAUAAUUCACGAAAUAAUAAUUUUUUCGUGAAUUAUUUUCCUCGUGAAGUAUUUGCUCUGUAUACACACACACACAUAUAUAUAUAUAUUUAUACAUACAUACAUACAUACAUACAUAUAUAUAUAUAUAUAUAUAUAUAUAUAUAUAUAUAUAUGAGUGUGUGUCAAUGUUAGGGGCACUGUAUAAAUACAAUAUGUUUGCAUACAUAUAUAUAAUUCAAUGUUAUGUGUGCGUGAAAGAACAUAUAUAUAUACAGCAUGCAUCUAUAUUUCCCCUAUUAAUUUAGCCGAUAUAUUCGUAUUAAAAUGUUUACUAACUGCAUAUACGUUGGACUAAAGGAAUGUAUAUACCUGAAGAAUUUCAUGAAUAUGUUUUUAUUCAUGAGAAACGUGGUGAAAAUAUAUAUACAUCUGUAUGAGUGUGCACGUGUGCGUGUGUGUGUCCAUGGAAAGAAUUUAAUCUGUAACAUGUAGUGGGAGCAUAGUACAAGAGUUAUUGCUUUAGGACUGUGGAACUGUCCCUUAGCUACUAUUAUUCCCAAGGACACUUAGAAUAUCCUAGUAUGGAGUUGUAAUCGCGUUUAAAAGAAAAACUGCGCUGCAGUUGUUUCUGGCCGUCGUCUCGACCUGUUUUGUGCCGCUGGUUCUAUAGCAGCUUGCAUUGAAAAGUUGAUUCAUUACUGUGCAAUACUUUAUCCGGUCACAAAAUAUUCCCGCACAGGAAUCAUCUUGGAGUCUCGGAAAGCUUGCACGGACAUACUGAUUUUGUGUCGCGGUCUUCCUCGAUCAG
rnacentral:lncRNA from 1 species